CGGGAUGAGCUCAAAUUUAAAAUCUGGCGGUCUCAGAUCGUCCGAGUUGUAGUCUAGAGAAGCGUUUUCCGUGCUGGCCUGUGUACAAGUCCGUUGGAACACGGCGUCAUAGAGGGUGAGAAUCCCGUCCUUGACACAGAUCUCCAGUGCUUUGUGAUGCGCUCUCAAAGAGUCGAGUUGUUUGGGAAUGCAGCUCAAAAUGGGUGGUAAAUUCCAUCUAAAGCUAAAUAUUGGCGAGAAACCGAUAGCGAACAAGUACCGUGAGGGAAAGAUGAAAAGCACUUUGGAAAGAGAGUUAAACAGUACGUGAAAUUGUUGAAAGGGAAACGAUUGAAGUCAGUCAUGCUUUCCGAGACUCAGCCGGUUCUGCCGGUGUACUUCUCGGUUUGCAGGCCAGCAUCAGUUUUGGGCGGUGGAAAAGGUUGGCGGGAAUGUGGCAUCCUCGGAUGUGUUAUAGCC
rnacentral:rRNA from 1 species